GCAAGGGGAGCGGCAGACGGGUGAGUAACACGUGGGAACGUACCCUUUUCUACGGAAUAACCCAGGGAAACUUGGACUAAUACCGUAUGUGCCCUUCGGGGGAAAGAUUUAUCGGAAAAGGAUCGGCCCGCGUUGGAUUAGCUAGUUGGUGGGGUAAAGGCCUACCAAGGCGACGAUCCAUAGCUGGUCUGAGAGGAUGAUCAGCCACAUUGGGACUGAGACACGGCCCAAACUCCUACGGGAGGCAGCAGUGGGGAAUAUUGGACAAUGGGCGCAAGCCUGAUCCAGCCAUGCCGCGUGAGUGAUGAAGGCCUUAGGGUUGUAAAGCUCUUUCACCGGAGAAGAUAAUGACGGUAUCCGGAGAAGAAGCC
rnacentral:rRNA from 1 species